rnacentral:rRNA from 1 species
UACGUAGGGACCAAGCGUUGUUCGGAUUUACUGGGCGUAACGGGCGCGUAGGCUGCGUGGUAAGUCACUUGUGAAAUCUCUGAGCUUAACUCAGAACGGUCAAGUGAUACUGCUGUGCUAGAGUGCGGAAGGGGCAAUCGGAAUUCUUGGUGUAGCGGUGAAAUGCGUAGAUAUCAAGAGGAACACCUGAGGUGAAGACGGGUUGCUGGGCCGACACUGACGCUGAUGCGCGAAAGCCAGGGGAGCAAACGGG